GGGAGCUUGCUCCUGGAUUCAGCGGCGGACGGGUGAGUAAUGCCUAGGAAUCUGCCUGGUAGUGGGGGAUAACGUCCGGAAACGGGCGCUAAUACCGCAUACGUCCUGAGGGAGAAAGUGGGGGAUCUUCGGACCUCACGCUAUCAGAUGAGCCUAGGUCGGAUUAGCUAGUUGGUGGGGUAAAGGCCUACCAAGGCGACGAUCCGUAACUGGUCUGAGAGGAUGAUCAGUCACACUGGAACUGAGACACGGUCCAGACUCCUACGGGAGGCAGCAGUGGGA
rnacentral:rRNA from 1 species